UACGUAUGGUGCGAGCGUUAUCCGGAUUUACUGGGUGUAAAGGGAGCGUAGGCGGCGCGUUAAGUCUGAUGUGAAAACCCGAGGCUCAACCACGGGAGUGCAUUGGAAACUGGCGUGCUGGAGUGCCGGAGAGGUAAGCGGAAUUCCUAGUGUAGCGGUGAAAUGCGUAGAUAUUAGGAGGAACACCAGUGGCAAAGGCGGCUUACUGGACGGCAACUGACGCUGAGGCUCGAAAGCGUGGGGAGCAAACAGG
rnacentral:rRNA from 1 species